rnacentral:pre_miRNA from 1 species
GGCUUCUUCGACUUCUACUACAGCUGCUCCUCUCUCUGAUUCUUCUUUCUCAAGUGUUUCCAAUUUCAUUUCUGUGAAGCUUGACCGGAACAAUCUGAGCAAGCCAACAUGAAUAGUUUUUGCGGUCAUGCUUCACAGAAAUGAAAUUGGAAACAAAGAAGAAUCAGAGAGAGGAGCAGCUGUAGUAUAAGUCGAAGAAGCC